UCCUCAGUAGCUCAGUGGUAGAGCGGUCGACUGUUAAUCGAUUGGUCGCAGGUUCGAAUCCCGCCUGAGGAG
rnacentral:tRNA from 1 species